GCCAGGUGUGGUGGCGAGUGCCUGUAGUCCCAGCUACUCAGGAGGCUGAGGUGGGAGGAUUGCUUGAAUCCAGAAGUUCUGGGCUGUAAUGUGCUAUGUCAUCAGGUGUCCACACUAAGUUCAGCAUCAAUAUGGUGACCUCCCGGGAGUGGGGAACCACAAGGUUGCCUAAGGAGGGGUGAACUGGCCCAGGUAAGAAACGGAGCAGGCGAAAACUCCCGUGCUGAUCAGUAGUGGGAUCGUGCCUGUGAAUAGCCACUGCACUCCAGCCAGGACAAUAUAGGGAGACCCUGCCUCU
rnacentral:SRP_RNA from 1 species